rnacentral:rRNA from 1 species
AUUGAACGCUGGCGGCAGGCUUAACGCAUGCAAGUCGAGCGGUAGCACAAGAGAGCUUGCUCUCUGGGUGACGAGCGGCGGACGGGUGAGUAAUGUCUGGGAAACUGCCUGAUGGAGGGGGAUAACUACUGGAAACGGUAGCUAAUACCGCAUAACGUCGCAAGCCCAAAGAGGGGGACCUUCGGGCCUCUUGCCAUCAGAUGUGCCCAGAUGGGAUUAGCUAGUAGGUGGGGUAAUGGCUCACCUAGGCGACGAUCCCUAGCUGGUCUGAGAGGAUGACCAGCCACACUGGAACUGAGACACGGUCCAGACUCCUACGGGAGGCAGCAGUGGGGAAUAUUGCACAAUGGGCGCAAGCCUGAUGCAGCCAUGCCGCGUGUGUGAAGAAGGCCUUCGGGUUGUAAAGCACUUUCAGCGAGGAGGAAGGUGGUGAACUUAAUACGUUCAUCAAUUGACGUUACUCGCAGAAGAAGCACCGGCUAACUCCGUG